ACCGAGGAUAGAUUUGGCUGCUUGCAACCUCGUAAAAAGAAUGCUAAAA
rnacentral:ncRNA from 1 species